rnacentral:rRNA from 1 species
UGAGGAAUAUUGUGCAAUGGGGGAAACCCUGACGCAGCGAUGCCGCGUGAGUGAAGAAGGCCUUCGGUCGUAAAACUCUGUCAAGUGGGAAGAACAGCUUUAGGGCUAAUAUCCUUAAGGUGUGACGGUACCACUGAAGGAAGCACCGGCUAACUCCGUGCCAGCAGCCGCGGUAAGACGGAGGGUGCAAGCGUUAUUCGGAUUUAUUGGGCGUAAAGAGCGUGUAGGCGGCCGGUCAAGCCAGAUGUG